rnacentral:rRNA from 1 species
AUGGACCCGCAGGUGGCGGUGCAGGGCGGGGACUGGGUGUCGGCGGUGACGCCGCUGCUGAAGCUGCUGUGCCUGACGGUGAUCGGCCUCCUCCUGGCCCACCCGCGGGCGCAGGUGGUGCCCAAGGCCACCUUCAAGCUGCUCAGCAAGCUCGUCUUCGCGCUCUUCCUGCCCUGCCUCAUCUUCGUGCACCUCGGCCAGUCCGUCACGCUCCACAACGUGCUCCACUGGUGGUUCAUCCCCGUCAACGUCCUCAUCGCCACCGCCGUCGGCUGCGCGCUCGGCUACGCCGUGGCGCUCGUCUGCCGCCCGCCGCCGCGCUUCUUCCGCUUCACCGUCAUCAUGACGGGCUUCGGCAACACGGGCAACCUCCCCAUCGCCAUCAUCGGCUCCGUCUGCCACACCGCCGACCACCCCUUCGGCCCCGGCUGCCACCGCGAGGGCAUCGCCUACGUCUCCUUCGCGCAGUGGGUCGCCGUCCUCCUCGUCUACACCCUCGUCUACCACAUGAUGGAGCCCCCCAUGCAGUACUACGAGAUUGUCGGCGAGGGCCACGAGAUCGAGGAGGAGCCGCAGCUCAGCAACUUCAGCCGCCCCCUGCUCCACGAGGCCGAGUGGCCCGGGAUGGCCGACAAGGAGACGGAGCACUCCAAGACGCCAUUCAUCGCCAGGAUCUUCGCCAGCAUCUCGGGCUCCUCGCAGAACACCUUCCCCGACAUCGAUUUCACCGAGGAGGGCGGGAUCUCCGGCGCCGGGCCUAGCAGCCCCAAGUCGCUCCGGUGCCUUGCAGAGCCGAAAGUGGUCAGGAGGAUGAGGGUGGUCGCCGAGAAGACUCCGAUUCAGCACGUCCUUCAGCCGCCGACCAUCGCCUCCUUGCUCGCCAUCAUCAUCGGCAUGGUCCCCGUGCUCAAGGCCUUCGUGUUUGGGGCUGAUGCGCCGCUCUCCUUCUUCACCGACAGUUUGGAGAUCCUCGCUGCUGCUGUGGUGCCCUCGGUGAUGUUGAUUCUGGGAGGCAUGCUCGCAGAAGGCCCAAAUGAUAACGCACUGGGUAUCCGGACCAUCGUCGGUAUAACCGUCGCAAGGCUCCUGAUACUCCCGUGCAUUGGCAUCGGCAUCGUGAUGCUAGCAGACAGGUUGCAUCUGCUCGUCGAGAACGACCACAUGUACCGGUUUGUGCUCUCACUGCAAUACUCCACCCCCAGUGCCAUCCUGCUUGGAGCAAUCGCAAGCCUGAGGGGUUACAGCGUUAAGGAAGCAUCCGCGCUCCUCUUUUGGCAGCACAUCUGUGCGGUGUUCUCUCUCUCCAUCUACCUGGUCGUAUAUUUCAAGCUGUUGUCAUACAUCUGA